GAUGAAGAACGCAGCGAAAUGCGAUAAGUAAUAUGAAUUGCAGAUAUUCGUGAAUCAUCGAAUCUUUGAACGCACAUUGCGCCCUUUGGUAUUCCAAAGGGCAUGCCUGUUUGAGCGUCAUUUCUCCCUCAAACCCUCGGGUUUGGUGUUGAGCGAUACGCUGGGUUUGCUUGACAGAAAGGCGGAGUAUAAACUAAUGGAUAGGUUUUUUCCACUCAUUGGUACAAACUCCAAAACUUCUUCCAAAUUCGACCUCAAAUCAGGUAGGACUACCCGCUGAACUUAAGCAUAUCAAUAAGCGGAGGA
rnacentral:misc_RNA from 1 species